AGCAGCCGCGGUAAUUCCAGCUCCAAUAGCGUAUAUUAAAGUUGUUGCAGUUAAAAAGCUCGUAGUUGAAUUUCGGGGUUAGUAGGUUGGUCAUGCCUCUGGUAUGUACUGGUCUCACUGAUUCCUCCUUCCUGAUGAACCUUAAUGCCAUUUAUUUGGUGUUUUGGGGAAUUUGGACUGUUACUUUGAAAAAAUUAGAGUGUUUAAAGCAAGCUAACGCUUGAAUACAUUAGCAUGGAAUAAUGAAAUAGGACGUUCGAUCCUAUUUUGUUGGUUUCUAGGAUUGGCGUAAUGAUUAAUAGGGAUAGUUGGGGGCAUUAGUAUUCAAUUGUCAGAGGUGAAAUUCUUGGAUUUAUUGAAGACUAACUACUGCGAAAGCAUUUGCCAAGGAUGUUUUCAUUAAUCAAGAACGAAAGUUAGGGGAUCGAAGACGAUCAGAUACCGUCGUAGUCUUAACCAUAAACUAUGCCGACUAGGGAUCGGAUGAUGUUAAUUUUUUAAUGACUCA
rnacentral:rRNA from 1 species